rnacentral:ncRNA from 1 species
GGUCAAAAUUAGUAGAAAAAGCCUCCAAUAUCGUCAAAAAACCACUAAAUUUGGUGCCAAAUUCACUUUUUAGAGUCAAAAUAGUCCAAAAACUACCAAACUUACUAGGGAAUGGUCAGAACUUAUCUCGCGAUCGGGAGAUACAAAUGGGUCCACGGAAAAGAAGAAGGUUGUUCCCUGAUUCCAGAACAAUUUUCAAAUUUUGCUAAACGGCCCGGAGAGCCGAGAUAUUUGUGCUCAAAAAUCAAGCUAUAAACCAUGUAAAUCUCUCGCUUUUGGCUAUUUGAUUUGCUGCUUCCCCUCCCUAUUUUCCUCCCUCGAACACCUCAUUCUUAUCCGCCACCGAUGGCAACUACCAAAUGUUGGGGAGAGGCCGAGUGGUGUGUGCUCAUUGCUAGAAAGGUGAAAUUGCGGGACCGAACCGAGACUCCCAACAAGGAAAGCAUUUGCCAGAGAAUGUCUUCAUUAAUGAAGAACGAAAGUCGAGGUUCGAAGGCGAUUACAUACCGCCCUAGUUGUGACCGUAAACGAUGCCAUCUCGCGAUUCGGAGGGUUUAUGC